AGUGGCGCACGGGUGAGUAACACGUAGGUAACCUGCCCUUAAGAGGGGGAAAACCCGCCGAAAGGCGAGCUAAUACCGCAUAAGACCACGAACUGAGAUGUUUGUGGUAAAAGUCCCGAUGCAAAUCGGGACACUUAAGGAUGGACCUGCGGCCUAUCAGGUAGUUGGUGAGGUAACGGCUCACCAAGCCUAAGACGGGUAGCCGGUCUGAGAGGACGGACGGCCACACUGGAACUGAGACACGGUCCAGACUCCUACGGGAGGCAGCAGUAAGGAAUAUUGGUCAAUGGACGCAAGUCUGAACCAGCCAUGCCGCGUGAAGGAUUAAGGUCCUCUGGAUUGUAAACUUCUUUUAUAUGGGACGAAAAAAGGGUAAUCUUAUCCGUCUGACGGUACCAUAUGAAUAAGCACCGGCUAACUCCGUGCCAGC
rnacentral:rRNA from 1 species